GAGGAAAGUCCGGGCUUCAUAGAGCAAGGUGCCAGGUAACGCCUGGGGGGCGCAAGCCUACGACAAGUGCAGCAGAGAGAAGACCGCCGAUGGCCCUAGGGCACAGGUAAGGGUGAAAGGGUGCGGUAAGAGCGCACCGGACGACUAGUAAUAGUUCGUAGCAGGGUAAACUCCACCUGAAGCAAGACCAAAUAGGCCUCCACAUUGCGUUGCUCGCGUAAGGAGGCGGGUAGGUUGCUCGAGCCAGUGAGUGAUUGCUGGCCUAGACGAAUGGCUACCGCCGCGCAAGCGGAACAGAACCCGGCUUA
rnacentral:RNase_P_RNA from 1 species